rnacentral:rRNA from 1 species
GACGGGGACCCGCACAAGCAGCGGAGCAUGUGGUUUAAUUCGAUGAUACGCGAGGAACCUUACCUGGGCUCAAAUGUAUGUUGACGUAUUCUGAAAGGGAUACUUCUUCGGACAAUAUACAAGGUGCUGCAUGGUUGUCGUCAGCUCGUGCCGUGAGGUGUCGGCUUAAGUGCCAUAACGAGCGCAACCCCUGCAUUCAGUUGCCAUCGGGUAAUGCCGGGCACUCUGGAAGGACUGCCAUCGACAAGAUGGAGGAAGGUGGGGAUGACGUCAAGUCAUCAUGGCCCUUAUGUCCAGGGCGACACACGUGCUACAAUGGCCGGCACAACGGGAAGCGAGUUCGCGAGGACGAGCGGGUCCCUCAAAGCCGGUCGCAGUUCGGAUUGAAGUCUGCAACUCGACUUCAUGAAGCUGGAAUCGCUAGUAAUCGUGGAUCAGCCAAGCCGCGGUGAAUACGUUCCCGGGCCUU